rnacentral:rRNA from 1 species
UACAGAGGUCCCAAGCGUUGUUCGGAUUCACUGGGCGUAAAGGGUGUGUAGGUGGUGAGGUAAGUCGGAUGUGAAAGCUCGGAGCUCAACUCCGAAAUGGCAUUGGAAACUACCUUGCUCGAGGGUUGGAGGGGGACUGGAAUACUUGGUGUAGCAGUGAAAUGCGUAGAUAUCAAGUGGAACACCAGUGGCGAAGGCGAGUCCCUGGACAACUCCUGACACUGAGGCACGAAGCUAGGGGAGCAAACAGG